CUUGCAGGGUACUCGAGUGGCGAACGGGUGGGUAACACGUGGGUGAUCUGCCCUGCACUUCGGGAUAAGCUUGGGAAACUGGGUCUAAUACCGGAUAGGAGCCAUCUUUAGUGUGGUGGUUGGAAAGUUUUUCGGUGUAGGAUGAGCUCGCGGCCUAUCAGCUUGUUGGUGGGGUAAUGGCCUACCAAGGCGGCGACGGGUAGCCGGCCUGAGAGGGUGUACGGCCACAUUGGGACUGAGAUACGGCCCAG
rnacentral:rRNA from 1 species